UUUUUUUUUCUGAAUCCGGGCUCUCUACUUUUAUCUUAAUUCUUAAAUGAUUUGAGAAUUUUAUAUUUGGUGUUUAUAACUCGGUUGAUUGACGAAUGGUCCAAUGGCAAAUUUGGAAUACGAACUUUAUUGGAAAAGUGUUGCCGUUCUAUUAUUUGGUUGCUGUCCGCGAUAUGAUGUGAGUUUUGAUCAAUAAUUCAUCUCAAUUGAUAAUAUUUGAACAUUCAAAAUAAGAACAAGAUCUUACAGAGAAAAAAUAGAGUUUUAAUAUGUAGUUUUCAGUACCGUGUAUGAUACGUUGUUCAAAGAGGGUUGCUCCAUUUUCCUCUUAUCAGCUAUGAGGGUUGCAUUGUAGGUCAUCCUGGACAAUAGCGUUGUACAAAAGCUUAAUUGAGUUAUAUUAAGGAAUCUGAGGAGAUUCGUCUUGCUAUGUUACCAUUGGAGUUGAUAAAGAGAGUGAGAGAGAUUGAGCAGGAUGUAUACACUGAAUUAGAAACAGCCCAGAAGAAAGACUCGAAGCAGACUGUUGCAGUUGAUCUGUCUAAAAGGUUAAAAGAUAUCCGUUCCUUAAAUGACGCCGCCAGCCUGAAAGGUAUCUCUCUUUUCUCCUUGUAAAUCUACUUUGAUUUCUACUUUAUUAUAUGUGCACAUGUUCAAAGAUCAAACUCCGAAUAUGUGAUGCUCAUCACUUCUCUGUUGUCA